rnacentral:rRNA from 1 species
UACGUAGGGGGCAAGCGUUGUCCGGAAUCAUUGGGCGUAAAGAGCGUGUAGGCGGCUCGGUAAGUCCGCUGUAAAGUCAAAGGCUCAACCUUUGAAUGUCAGUGGAUACUGCCGGGCUAGAGUCCGGAAGAGGCGAGUGGAACUCCUGGUGUAGCGGUGGAAUGCGCAGAUAUCAGGAAGAACACCAACGGCGAAGGCAGCUCGCUGGGACGGUACUGACGCUGAGACGCGAAAGCGUGGGGAGCGAACAGG